rnacentral:lncRNA from 1 species
AAGAGAACACAUAAAGCUCAACCAUGAUCUUUAUAUUAAUCAUGAAGGACAAAAUAUCCAUAAAAGUAAAAAUCUAUACUACGGGAUUACUUGCAUCAUGGUCUAUUUUUUACUAGAGCAGGCGGCGGCGAGGUGAUAGAAAAAAGAGACAGCAUACGGUGAAAAGAAAUGAUGGCUAUAUGUGAUGGAGAGGGGGCCCGAAGUUUGUCUUAGGUUCAUCGGCGGUGAAAACGGCGGUGGCUUAGAGGAAUCGCCGGCUGGUCGGUUUGGAGAGUUCGUCGGCUGGUGCGAUGUUGCGCUAGUUCAUUGGAUUCGCUGUAACGGGGACAAAGGAGGCGACGCAGAUAGGAGUCGGGGUUUCACCAGUCAUUUCUAUCCAUCGCUGGUGGUUAGAGAUAGAAGAGCGACGCUGGUCUGAUGGAGGUAUGGUGGUUUUCGACUGCAUGGCAGCGUGGUUCGUUGGGGUUGCGGUAGUCAUACCAUUGACGUGGCUCACCGGAGCGUGGUGUUCGCUGGUGGGGUGAGUGGCUGCAGCUACGACUGUUGAUAGAGCAAUGAGAGUAGAGAGUGAAAGUGGAAUGGGUGUG